AUGGUGUACGAAGUCAGGAGAUGUCUGCGUGACAUGCAGCUGUGUUGGUGGUCCCGGGGCAGGUGCUUUCUGGGUCACAGGCUCUUGGAGCUUUGGAGGGAUGCCUGUAUGUCUAUAAAUGCAGUAAGACCAGUGAAAGAGGCUGUCGGGGUGAACAAGCGCUGCCUAGGGCACAUUAUCCAAGUUAAGAGAUGCAGAGAAAUGUUCGACUCCUGGUUUUCUAAUUGGAUAUGCUGUUCCUGCCCCAUCUCUCCCCACCAAAGGAUGACUGAUUUCCUCUGGUGCUUGGAGUCCCUUUUAUCAUCUAGCACCAUAUGAAAUCGGUUAUAAUGACUGGGGAUCAAUUCUUUGGCUUCCCAUUGCAUUUAAAGGACCACCAAUGCCCUUUUCCUACAGUAUGUAUGUGUGUUUAGGCCUUUGAAGAGGUUAUUGCAAAUUUUGUGGAAAACAGAAAUGUUUUCUUUUUCAACUGAAUUUGAGUUUGAAUUCUGAAUUUCAAUUAGCUUUGUUGCUAUUUUGAGGAGCCCCAGCUAUGUAUUCAUCACCAAAUAAAUGAAAAGGCUGUAAUCUACA
ensembl:lncRNA